CACAUGACUUCAAGUCUUACUACUGUAUACUAUAUAUAAACUAUACACUGUACCUGCAUAUAAAUAGAAUCUGGACUUUAAAUCAACCGAUUUAACAUCACAUCGACUCAAAACCGGAACUGCAUUUUAUUUUACCUGUCACCACAUAGUACACUUGUAUUGCGUAAUAUUGAUUCCUCGAAACUCAAAAUGACAAACAAUGGAACAGUAAAGUCAGCAAAUUCUGGGAAUCAAAAUGUCAGAGAUAUUGCCAUGGCGGCCAUGUCAUUAUUACGACACAACCCAAAGAAACUUCUGAAAAAAGCAAAACGAUUGGUCAAGGAACAUCCAAAGAUAGCGCGUGAUGUAUUCUGCGUUGACGUUGAGGGAUGGACCCUUAUCCAUGCGUGUGCAUUACGUGGCACAAAGACUAUUUUAAAAACAUUACUGUCAUGCGGUGUGGAUAUAAACUUUGAAAUGGGAUUCCCUGAUGGGUUACCUGGCAACUCUACUUGUUUACACUUAGCGGCGUACAGAGGAGAUAUUAAAAUAAUUGACUAUUUGUUAUCCCAUGGUGCAAAUAUUCACGCUCAGGACUCACAGGGCCACGAACCAAUCUUUUAUGCAGUAAAACGAAACCAUACGGAAACCAUUUUGUAUUUACAAGACAAAGGCGCUUACGCAACAAAUCAAAAUGACGUCACAGACAGAGGGUUUGCCGAUAUGGUCAUGACUCCAGAACCCAAGAUUCACCCAUUUUGUUUUUCAUUCCACGCUCUUAAAAAGUCAUAAGCCUACAAGACAAAAUUAAUAUAAUUUUCAACUCGAUGCUUGAUUUAUGUUUCUAUGCACAGCCAUGUUUGACCUGUGUGAUGUCGUCGUACUUAUGACGAUAGACAGCCUCUUUGAAGUGUCUGUUGAUAUUGGGUUGGUCGAGAAUGGCAGAUGUCAUCGUUUAUUUAUUAAACAAUAAAGCCUCAGAGAUGCAUUUGAAAGGACCACUGGAAGAACUGUGCCCCGUGCUACUUUGUGUGCAGGCCUACUGUGAGUUCCAGCCUAUUUCUGGAAAGCGGAACUUUGUGACAAUAUUGUAACAUAAUUAUCCCCAUUUCCUCGUGCAGUUUUGCAAUUUUCUUACUUACACGCCAUUUGUUGGUGUUUAUUUUUGUUGUCAUUUAUAGUUCACGUGUUCCGUCUUGGAUACCGUUGAUGGUUUUAUACCUUUUAAAGUGUGUAAGGGGAUAUAACUCCAAUUAGCAUAAACGGGAAGCGGACCACUAUUAAUUUCCCUAUUGUCUUAAUUUUAUGGUUAACCGUAACCAACCUCUGUCACCCUUCCGCCUCCAAACCAUCAAUAUCUUUACCAAAUUAAUUUUUAAUAAAAGGCAACAAAAAUGGCACCAGGACUGUGGAAUAUAAUGUUGGUCUGUCUCCGACCGGCCAUCUUAGAGUUGCCCAAGUUAUCUUCGAUUGAACGUGGGCCAUAUUUGCAUUAAAAUCCAAAGAACUUUCUAGUGUUCUGUCAUAUCGACCAUGAAGGAUUGUUAAAAUGUGCAAAGUGUUUUAUUUUGUAUUAUUCCCGAAUGAUGAUGCAUGGUAGAUAACGCAUGUUUAGUAUUAAGCGAUAUCUACUAUGAAGGAGAUAUCAUUUCAACUUAUCGAGGCAACAAGCCAGCUAGUCAGAAUGUAUAUAAAAUCUUUUUUUUUAUUACUGUAACGAAAAUUUAUCACUUUUAAAUCAACGCUAAUGUUUUAACAUUAAAAUAAGAAAACAAAAUCAAAUUACCAACGCUAGACAAUGUCCCGGCUUGGAUUCAAAACAGCCUCAUUAAUUUGGUUAACGGCAAAUAUCGUACGUAAUUAACGUUCAAAAACUAGCUUGCUUGUUUCACUUCUCUGCAGACAGGCCGGGUCUAUUGUUCAAAUUGGGUAAAUAAUAUUAUGUUUUAUAAAAAGAUGGACAAAAACUAUUUUUCUGAUAAAAUUAUUAUUAUCGGUCAAUAUUCAUCGAUAAAUAUGGACAAUAAUAUAACAGCCCUCGUACCCACCCCAACCCCUCACCCUAAACACGUGAGGUCACGUGCGCAUGUGGUUUUGUUUAUGAAUGAUAUUGGGUGAUAUGUGUUUUAUAUCAGUUGUAUUUAAUUCUCUAUUUAGACAUGCACUAUGGGCCAGGAACCAAGGAUGACCUCGGCCAUCUUGGAAUUGUUACUUAAACAGACAUUAUGCAAGAGCUAAAUCUGCCUAUUGCAGGUCUUUCUUCAGGCCUUACAUGUUAUCUAAAUUAUUAAUUAGACAUUAAUUAACUUAUCAAGACCAUAAUAAACUCUUGAUGCAAUCGUUAGCCUGCGAUAUUUAGUGAAUUUGAAUACGUUUUGGUGUGGAUGAAAUGAAUAAUUGAGACGUUGUUUAUUAUCGUACCAACAAUAGUAAUGGCGAUCGAGGCUAGCCUAAAAUUGUAUCGCUAAUAUCUAGGUUCAGAGUGUAGCAAUUUGACUGACAUUUACAGCAUAUUCUCUUUUCAUUAUCUAUAUUUUUACUAUUAUAGCGAGAACGGUGCGAGAACGGUCGGCUCUUUAUCUUAUCUUACCUAAUUAAUUAAACCACACCAUAAAUGGCUCUUUAGCAACAUUGUUAAAAUACAGAUCUGUAUUUCGUUUCGUUCUUUUAUACUUUCGAUGGAGUAAAACGAAAUUUUGAACUAUCAAACCACUCUCAUUAAGAUUCGAAAUACAUUUAUGGUAAGACCAUAGCGUUGGAAACAAAAUGAAAUAGGGUUGUAACGUACCACUGUUACUGCUCCGAUUGGGCUAAUGAAGGCAGGUAGGACUUAUAGUUGUAAAUCAAAUGAAAUGGGUUUAAUGUCCUACUGUUCUGCAGACGGGCAAAAAAGGCUGGAAAGAUAACUACCCGAAUGUUAAGUUUGAUUACGGGGGUGCGCGAUUCACAUUCCAGAACGUCCCGAAUUGACAGAAUUGCAAUCGAGAAACACGGAAUUCAGUCCUGUCACGGUUCUGUCAGUACCAACUACGCAGGUGGUGUGAGUAGAAUCGUGACGUAAUUAAACAUAACGCAUAUGUUUCGGCUGCACGGUUGGUUGAUAUAUUUACUUAUUCAGUCGACGCAUGCGUUGUAGCCCGAAAUACCCCUUUUCACUCGAUUGUCACUAUUUUUGGGAUUGAGAGAAUUCAAUUCCGGAACGUUCAAUCGAGUAGCCCCUACUAGUGUAUAUUUGGUGCUAAUGCCAUUAAAGUGCUGUUUUAAUAUUUUUCGAUGUUUCUAUACAUGUAUUUCGAUUGGUUAUACCUACUGAUAUAAUAUUUUGUUCAAUUUUGUUUUUGCACCUGGACAGGUGGGCACUGUUGUAUAUUUCAAAUAAAAUGCUAAAUUGUUUUGUAAACUGACCGACAUGGUCUUUGAUGUGACCAUUCUGAAUAAAAAUAAAAAUAACACAAAUUA